rnacentral:rRNA from 1 species
ACAAUGAAGAGUUUGAUCCUGGCUCAGGAUGAACGCUAGCUACAGGCUUAACACAUGCAAGUCGAGGGGCAUCAGGAAGAAAGCUUGCUUUCUUUGCUGGCGACCGGCGCACGGGUGAGUAACACGUAUCCAACCUGCCGAUGACUCGGGGAUAGCCUUUCGAAAGAAAGAUUAAUACCCGAUGGUAUAUCUGAAAGGCAUCUUUCAGCUAUUAAAGAAUUUCGGUCAUUGAUGGGGAUGCGUUCCAUUAGGUUGUUGGCGGGGUAACGGCCCACCAAGCCAUCGAUGGAUAGGGGUUCUGAGAGGAAGGUCCCCCACAUUGGAACUGAGACACGGUCCAAACUCCUACGGGAGGCAGCAGUGAGGAAUAUUGGUCAAUGGAUUAGGCACGUGUGCCUUUUUGUAUGUACCGUAUGAAUAAGGAUCGGCUAACUCCGUGCCAGCAGCCGCGGUAAUACGGAGGAUCCGAGCGUUAUCCGGAUUUAUUGGGUUUAAAGGGAGCGUAGGCGGAUGCUUAAGUCAGUUGUGAAAGUUUGCGGCUCAACCGUAAAAUUGCAGUUGAUACUGGGUGUCUUGAGUACAGUAGAGGCAGGCGGAAUUCGUGGUGUAGCGGUGAAAUGCUUAGAUAUCACGAAGAACUCCGAUUGCGAAGGCAGCUUGCUGGACUGUAACUGACGCUGAUGCUCGAAAGUGUGGGUAUCAAACAGGAUUAGAUACCCUGGUAGUCCACACAGUAAACGAUGAAUACUCGCUGUUUGCGAUAUACAGUAAGCGGC